rnacentral:tRNA from 1 species
CGCUCGGUGAGCUCCGUGUUGACGGCGGCCUCGGCCUGCCAGGUCGAGCUGACGAGGCUGCAUGUCGAGUCGCUCGGCGCGACGCCAGGCCGCGCGGC